GACUGGGUGGCUCAGUCGGUUGAGCGUCUGACUUUGACUCAGGUCCUGGUCUCAUGGUUCGUGGGUUCGAGCCCCUCAUCCGUCU
rnacentral:tRNA from 1 species